GCAGUGGAUGGCAGUAAAGGCACAUGCACCAGCUUUUUCUAAUUCAAGUGCGUUAUUUCCUGUACACUGCCGGUUCGACGAAAGCUCCCCAAUAUUGGCGCUGGUCUUCGCACCCCAUUCUCUAAAAUUGAGCAGCAAUAACCCACGAGAAUGGGCAACAAGAAGAAAGUUAUCGUAAUAGAUGGAGGUAACAUAAAGACCUGAAGUGUCCCGAAUGUCCUUGAACGCAUCACAGCAGAGUUCCAUUAAGAUGUUGCACUGUCAGAAGUACUUACUGUAAGUUUAUUAUUAUUCGAACAGUCCAAAAUAUAAAUGAUGGGUGCACUAUAGCAUGACAGAUAAGAUAAAUUACACCUAUGUUGGAUACCUUCUAUUAAUAUGUACUUCAUUUAUCCAAAUGUGAGUAAUAGCGCAGAAGACCAUGCUGCUUAAAUUUAUAAUGAUCUCUAUCGUCUACCUGCUGCUACUUAAUACAUGGACAGCUACAUACACAUGUUACAAAUGGGUUUAUCUGCAAUAUGUGUAAUGGCUGUAAUGUAGUAUGAAUGUGUGCUUGUUUUGUCUGUAGAAUCGCUGACAAGACAGUUAAUGUACAGUAAAACAAGGCCUCUUAUUAGUCACAAUAUGCCAUUUAUAAUCCAAUGGUCAUAUCACAAAAACUAUAAGCA